rnacentral:rRNA from 1 species
CCUACGGGUGGCAGCAGUGGGGAAUAUUGCACAAUGGGGGAAACCCUGAUGCAGCGACGCCGCGUGAGUGAAGAAGUAUCUCGGUACGUAAAGCUCUAUCAGCAGGGAAGAACAUGACGUUACCUGACUAAGAAGCCCCGGCUAACUACGUGCCAGCAGCCGCGGUAUUACGUAGGGGGCAAGCGUGAGCCGGAUUUACUGGGGGUAAAGGGAGCGUAGACGGCAGGACAAGUAGCGAGGGAAAUCCCGGGGCUUAACCCCGGAACUGCUUUGGAAACUGUGCGGCUGGAGUGCAGGAGGGGUUAGCGGAAUUCCUAGUGUAGCGGUGAAAUGCGUAGAUAUUAGGAGGAACACCGGUGGCGAAGGCGACUUACUGGACUGUAACUGACGUUGAGGCUCGAAAGCGUGGGGAGCAAACAGGAUUAGAUACCCGAGUAGUC